rnacentral:rRNA from 1 species
AGCGAACGUUAGCGGCGCGCUUAACACAUGCAAGUCGCACGAGAAAGGGCUUCGGCCCCGGUAAAGUGGCGCACGGGUGCGUAACACGUAGGCAAUCUUCCCUUGAGCGGGGGAUAACGUUUCGAAAGAGACGCUAAUACCGCAUAAGACCACGACGGGUUCGCUCGUUGCGGUCAAAGCUGGCCUCUUCAUGAAAGCUAGCACUCAAGGACGAGCCUGCGGCCCAUCAUGCUAGUUGGUAGGGUAAUGGCCUACCAAGGCGAAGACGGGUAGCUGGUCUGAGAGGAUGAUCAGCCACACUGGAACUGAAACACGGUCCAGACUCCUACGGGAGGCAGCAGUGGGGAAUAUUGGACAAUGGGCGAAAGCCUGAUCCAGCGACGCCGCGUGAGUGAUGAUGGCCUUCGGGUUGUAAAGCUCUGUUGAGGGAGAAGAAAACAGUUAGAGCGAAUAGGUCUAACUCUUGACGGUAUCCCUUUAGAAAGCACCGGCUAACUCUGUGCCAGCCGCCGCAGUAA